UACGGAGGAUGCGAGCGUUAUCCGGAUUUAUUGGGUUUAAAGGGUGCGUAGGCGGCCUUGUAAGUCAGCGGUGAAAUUUUGCAGCUUAACUGUAAAAGUGCCGUUGAUACUGUGAGGCUAGGAUUUGGUUGCUGUGGGUGGAAUGUGUGGUGUAGCGGUGAAAUGCUUAGAGAUCACACAGAAUAUCGAUUGCGAAGGCAGCUCACAAAGCCAAGAUUGACGCUGAGGCACGAAAGCGUGGGUAGCGAACAGGAUUA
rnacentral:rRNA from 1 species